AGGAAAAAAGCCAAGUCAAGAAAUUAUAUUCUGUGAAGCGUAAAACAUUUUCGUGGCCUGUUUAAAGCUAUCACAAAUCAAUUGAAAAUUAUUUAUCAUACAAUAUUCAGGGAUUUAACUCUAGCUCGUCAUACCUGGCUAGGUGGACGAGAGUAAAUACUGCAUUAUCAUCUGUUCCUCCUGACAGGUUAUAGAGCAAUGAAAUCUUCGGAUUGGCAGAUCAUCUCUGACAGCCCAAGGAUCGAAAAUUUAGGUAUGAUGAACUAUGGUUAAGAAAACAUUAAUAAACUAGUAUAUUUAAACUUUAAUAUUUUAUUAAUUAUAUACAAGAACUAGACUAAUUACAAGUGUAUUUAACAAUAAUGUAAUUUGAAUGAUACUGACGAAUAAAGAUGCCUGUAGUUUCGA